GUUGUUAUAGUUUAACCAAAACAUUAGAUUGUGGAUCUAAUAACAGAAGUCUACAAUUUCUUAUCUACC
rfam:Gorilla gorilla gorilla genomic chromosome, chr19, whole genome shotgun sequence